GAAAGUAAUUGCUGUUUUCGCCAUUACGUUCAGUGGCAAAAACUGCAAUUACUUUUGC
rnacentral:miRNA from 1 species